rnacentral:lncRNA from 1 species
UGGCACAAGUAAGUCCCCUCCUCAAACUGACACAGGCAGUGCGCAUGUGUGAGCACCUCGUGGACAGGACGUGAGCAUGAGAGCCACCCCAGCCUUCCUGGUAUCGCCGGCCUUCAGGUGUCUGGAGCCCCCAC